rnacentral:rRNA from 1 species
GAUGAACGCUGGCGGCGUGCUUAACACAUGCAAGUCGAACGGUGAACCUCUUCGGAGGGGAUCAGUGGCGAACGGGUGAGUAACACGUGGGCAACCUGCCCCCGGCUCUGGGAUAACUCCAAGAAAUUGGGGCUAAUACCGGAUGUUCACCGCUUCCCGCAUGGGUGGUGGUGGAAAGGGUUUCCGGCUGGGGAUGGGCCCGCGGCCUAUCAGCUUGUUGGUGGGGUAGUGGCCUACCAAGGCGACGACGGGUAGCCGGCCUGAGAGGGUGACCGGCCACACUGGGACUGAGACACGGCCCAGACUCCUACGGGAGGCAGCAGCGGGGAAUAUUGCGCAAUGGGCGGAAGCCUGACGCAGCGACGCCGCGUGGGGGAUGACGGCCUUCGGGUUGUAAACCUCUUUCAGCAGGGACGAAGCGCAAGUGACGGUACCUGCAGAAGAAGCACCGGCCAACUACGUG